UUCAUCAUGUCAGAUCAAGAAAAUCGAGAUUUGAGCUCAAAUCGGAAAGUACGAGGUUAUGGACUAAAAUGGAAUAAUUAGCCAAAAUUGCAUUUGAGCUUGUCAGGUUAGCUCGGGGUUGGAGAUCGUCAGAGGUAGCAUCACACUAUAAAGUCACUACCUUUGGAAUAAUGAAGUAUAUAAUAAAAAUUUCAAGUGAGUGGCAUGUAUAGGGAUCUAGUUUAUUGACAUGUGUUAUUAUACUUUUGCCAAAUGUAUUGGCAUAUAUUAAGUUAUAUGUAUAUGGCCAUGAAAUGUGGCUCAUAUUGAUUAUGGCUUGUAAACCUAGCUAUUCUUGUCAUGUCUAAUGUUUAUGAUGUGAUUAUGCUUGUUUGCCA